GUAGGUGGCAAGCGUUGUCCGGAAUUAUUGGGCGUAAAGCGCGCGCAGGCGGUCCUUUAAGUCUGAUGUGAAAGCCCACGGCUCAACCGUGGAGGGUCAUUGGAAACUGGGGGACUUGAGUACAGAAGAGGAAAGCGGAAUUCCAAGUGUAGCGGUGAAAUGCGUAGAGAUUUGGAGGAACACCAGUGGCGAAGGCGGCUUUCUGGUCUGUAACUGACGCUGAGGCGCGAAAGCGUGGGGAGCAAACAGGAUUAGAUACCCUGGUAGUCCACGCCGUAAACGAUGAGUGCUAAGUGUUAGGGGGGUUUCCCGCCCCCCUUAGUGCUGCCAGCUAACGCAUUAAGCACUCCGCCUGGGGGAGUACGGCCCGCAAGGCUG
rnacentral:rRNA from 1 species